UGAGGGUAGAGGACUUUGUCUCACUGAC
rnacentral:piRNA from 1 species